CCAAUAGGGCUGCUUAGCAGGUUACUUUGAUAUAGUAAAUAGUAAAUUUUAUUUUCGUUGGU
rnacentral:tRNA from 1 species